UUGCAAUGUGCGCAAGCACGACAAGGUUAAUCCGAGUGUUUCCUGCUAAAGGAAUCUUUUGUUAGUUCUAAAACCACUGAUGAAUAAGGGGUGGGCAAGUUCUGGUGUCAGCCGCCGCGGUAAAACCAGCACCUCAAGUGGUCAGGAGGAUUAUUGGGCCUAAAGCAUCCGUAGCCGGUUCUGUAAGUUUCCGGUUAAAUCCACUAGCUCAACUAAUGGGCUGCCGGAAAUACUGCAGAACUAGGGAGUGGGAGAGGUAGACGGUACUCGGGAGGAAGGGGUAAAAUCCUUUGAUCUCUUGAUGACCACCUGUGGCGAAGGCGGUCUACCAGAACACGUUCGACGGUGAGGGAUGAAAGCUGGGGGAGCAAACCGG
rnacentral:rRNA from 1 species